ACCAGGUCAGCUCAGUCAGUAGGGCACGAGACCCUUAAUCUCAGGGUCAGGGGUUUAAGCCCCACACUGGGUA